AUGCCGCGCCGCAAGGUCCCCAUGAGGCUCAUCGAGAAGGCGCGGGCGCGCGCCGAGACCCACGCCAGGAGGACCAAGGGGCUGCAGAAGAAGGCGUCGGAGCUCGCCACGCUCUGCGCGGUCCCGGUCGCGCUCGUCUGCUCCGCCGGCGCGGGGGAUCCGCCGCUCGUGUGGGAGUCGGAGGAGGGAGUGCUCGAGAGGUACCAGCGCGCCGUCCCGGCCGAGACCCGCGCGCGGCACACGCACCGGUGCUACAUGGAGACGGAGCUGGGUAAGGAGAGGGCCAAGCUCGCCCGGACGCGGCACGGCUGCCCCGGCGCGCUCGCAGACUGGGACGCCGCGCUCAACGACAUGACGCUGGAGGAGGCGCGCGGGCUGCUCGAGACCAUCGACACGGCGCUGCGGGCCACGGGAGAUAGAAUGGAGGCGCUGGGCAUACCUGCCGACGGCGGCCACGGCCCGCUCCAGGGUUCUUCCCACGACGCCCUCAUGCCGCAGAAGCUCGGGCACGGUAGCGGCAACCCCGUGGACAUGGACGCCGCCGGCUUCCAGCAGCUGCAGAUGGUGCCGUUCCACGCUGGGAACAACGAGGGCCUACUCGAGCAAUUCUCAUGGGACGACCCCUUCCAGACGGAGCCAGGGUGCGGCGGCUUCCAAUCUGUCAGCGGCAACUACUCCGGCGGCGGCGACGAGAUGCUCGCGCCUGGCUUUGGCAAUGUUGACUACGACUUGACUGAUCUGACCAUGUGGGCAGCCGACGAGUUGUGUGAUGCAGUCAAGCCACUUGGGUGCUACCCUGACUUCGCCGACGGUAUUCUACCGCCCGAGUACUCAGCUCAGGUCGUCACCGGCGGGGACUACGUCAACACACCACCAUCUGGCGGGUACGGGUACCCCAUGGGCACGGGCAUGGGCGACAACUUCACUCAUCUCGACAGCAACUACACGGCGCACUGGCAGUUCCAGCGCUUCGACACAAGCAGUCUGCUACUAGGGGAAAUGCAGUCGUAG
rnacentral:rRNA from 1 species